GAUGAACGCUGGCGGCGUGCCUAACACAUGCAAGUUGAGCGAUCUUCUUCGGAAGAGAGCGGCGGACGGGUGAGUAACGCGUGGGUAACCUACCCUGUACACACGGAUAACAUACCGAAAGGUAUGCUAAUACGAGAUAAUAUGUUUCAUUCGCAUGUUUGAAACAUCAAAGCUCCGGCGGUAUGGGAUGGACCCGCGUCUGAUUAGCUAGUUGGUGAGGUAACGGCUCACCAAGGCGACGAUCAGUAGCCGACCUGAGAGGGUGAUCGGCCACAUUGGAACUGAGACACGGUCCAAACACCUACGGGUGGCUG
rnacentral:rRNA from 1 species